rnacentral:rRNA from 1 species
GAUGAACGCUGGCGGCGUGCCUAAUACAUGCAAGUCGAGCGAACGGACGAGAAGCUAGCUUCUCUGAUGUUAGCGGCGGACGGGUGAGUAACACGUGGAUAACCUACCUAUAAGACUGGGAUAACUUCGGGAAACCGUAGCUAAUACCGGAUAAUAUUUUGAACCGCAUGGUUCAAAAGUGAAAGACGGUCUUGCUGUCACUUAUAGAUGGAUCCGCGCUGCAUUAGCUAGUUGGUAAGGUAACGGCUUACCAAGGCAACGAUGCAUAGCCGACCUGAGAGGGUGAUCGGCCACACUGGAACUGAGACACGGUCCAGACUCCUACGGGAGGCAGCAGUAGGGAAUCUUCCGCAAUGGGCGAAAGCCUGACGGAGCAACGCCGCGUGAGUGAUGAAGGUCUUCGGAUCGUAAAACUCUGUUAUUAGGGAAGAACAUAUGUGUAAGUAACUGUGCACAUCUUGACGGUACCUAAUCAGAAAGCCACGGCUAACUACGUG